rnacentral:rRNA from 1 species
CCUACGGGUGGCAGCAGUGAGGAAUAUUGGUCAAUGGGCGCGAGCCUGAACCAGCCAAGUCGCGUGAGGGAUGACGGUCCUACGGAUUGUAAACCUCUUUUGCCGGGGAGCAAGCGUGCGUUCGUGACCGCGCGUCGAGAGUACCCGGAGAAAAAGCAUCGCCUAACUCCGUGCCAGCAGCCCCGUUAUUCCGAAGGAUGCGAGCGUUACCCGGAUUGUUUGGGUUUAAAGGGUGCGCAGGCGGGAUGCUAAGUCCGCGUUAAAACGGCGGUGCUCAACGCCGUCGAGCCGUUGAAACUGGGGUCCUUGAGUGGGAGGGAGGUAUGCGGAAUGCGUGGUGUAGCGGUGAAAUGCAUAGAUAUCGCGCAGAACUCCGAGUGCGAAGGCAGCAUACCGGCGCCCUACUGACGCUGAGGCACGAAAGCGUGGGUAUCGAACAGGAUUAGAUACCCGUGUAGUC